GGAGAGAUGACAGAGUGGUCGAUCGUGGCGGUCUCGAAAACCGUUGUACGGGCAACCGUAUCGGGAGUUCGAAUCUCCCUCUCUCCGCCA
rnacentral:tRNA from 1 species